rnacentral:rRNA from 1 species
AUUGAACGCUGGCGGCAUGCUUUACACAUGCAAGUCGAACGGCAGCACAGGGAGCUUGCUCCUGGGUGGCGAGUGGCGAACGGGUGAGUAAUGUAUCGGAACGUGCCUGGUAGUGGGGGAUAACUACUCGAAAGAGUGGCUAAUACCGCAUGAGAUCUUUGGAUGAAAGCGGGGGACCUUCGGGCCUCGUGCUACUGGAGCGGCCGAUAUCAGAUUAGGUUGUUGGUGGGGUAAAGGCCUACCAAGCCUGCGAUCUGUAGCUGGUCUGAGAGGACGACCAGCCACACUGGGACUGAGACACGGCCCAGACUCCUACGGGAGGCAGCAGUGGGGAAUUUUGGACAAUGGGCGCAAGCCUGAUCCAGCAAUGCCGCGUGCAGGACGAAGGCCUUCGGGUUGUAAACUGCUUUUGUACAGAACGAAAAGCCUCUGGCUAAUAUCUAGAGAUCAUGACGGUACUGUAAGAAUAAGCACCGGCUAACUACGUG